GUGCACUAAAAUGGAAGUGAUGCUGCCAUGUCUUUGCCUUCAUAGAGCAAACCGCAAGCAUAUCACAAGUUCCCCACUUUGAUCACACCCAUUGCUCUUAGGGCCUGAGAUGUGAGGACUGUGUGUCCAGUGUGGCCUAAAAAUUCUUCACAUUUUUACAUACAGAUCUAAUUUGUACUGCGAACAGUGCUGCUAAAAUAAGCAGUUGCCUUUAUGUACAAUAACUGAUUAAUUAAAUCUGACUGAGAGGCAGGAUGUCUCAGUGUCAGAUGCCCAUUGGUGUUCCCAUCCCUUGGCCAUGCCGAACAUUCAUCCAAUUUGAGGUAGACAUGUUAUUCUCUCCUGGCUGCCUGCCGGCCACACUCGAUCACACCUCAGCCUUUAAAGUGCACGCCAAGAUCAGUCAUCUGCUGGGGCCAAGGUGUAACUUUAUGAAAUAAUUACUUCACUGGCCUUUGGAGUAUGCAGCAGGCUGAAAAUAAACAGCAGUGGGUUGCGCAGGAAGAGAAAAAGCGUGAGGAGAAGAGAUGCAAGGGGCCAUAGUGUGAAAUGAGAGCGGCAGCAGCAGAAUUUAUGGCUGACAUUCAUGUUAUGGCAGUGGUUCAGACGUGACCUCCUCACUAACUCAGCAGCUGCCUGCUCUUCAUUGCCUUUCUCCACCUGUCCCGAAAGCACGCCACUCUCAAGGCUGGACCAGAUAAAUCUGCAAGUCUGUAAUGAACACCACUCUGAAACACGAGCCAGCAGUUGUGGCUGCCUUCUCUAGGAUACACCCCAUCGUGCCGCACCUUCUAAGAAAACACAGUGUCAGGCAAAUCGCAUCUGCGUGUUUGGAGAGAAACUGGUGCCAGAGCACUUCAGCAGAGCCGCUGAUCCACCACCUCAUCCAUCAGAGCUGCAGAAAGGCCUGGCCAGAGGCUGACCAGAGCGGCACGCCAGGCCACCUGCCCCUGCCUAAAACACUUCUGACACUGUAAAGUCAAGAUAUUAGUCCAAGCAUAAACCUCAUUCAUCAUCUC
ensembl:lncRNA